GACAGGGCGGCCUUCUGGACCAGGUGGAGCUGGCGGCAUGGGCCACACCCGCGCAGACCCCGCGCGGACAGUGCGCCCUCCUCGGGUCCCGCGCGCUCCGGCUGUCGGUGCGGCGGCCCGCGCGUGCUCGCCGGGGACGUGGACAGCAGGGACGCGCAGCGAGCUACCUGGCUAGUUCUGACUCCCUCCCCUCCCACAGAAUCGCGGGUUUCCCCUGUCUACCCAGACGGGAAGUGACAGCACUUGGGUUGAACUUCAGCUGGACAGAGAAGGAGGCGAGAAAUUCCGCUCUCAGGAAAGCAGCAUGAGUAAUCCCCGCACCGUGCCAGGCUCACUUCCUCAUCUGCGCCUAGCUCACCUGCUGUCACCUUACCUACCCCGCCCUGCAGGGUCCCAGGGUGGCCAGGCUCGUGGGCGUUGCGACUUGCAUAAACAACCCUGGGGAGCAGGUCUGGAAACCUGUAAUCUAAAACGUUCAGUACGUGAGGCAGGAGGAUGGCUGAGAGUUCAAGGCCAGACUGCCUACAGUGGGACCCUGCCUCAAAAUAACUAGUCUCACACACGUCUGAGUGGUAUAAUGACCUCAAGGCUAAAAACAAGGCUGACUAGUGUUCGCUGAGGCUGAUUUUUAUCUUAAGCUCUUGACUUUAUACAAGACCUAAAUACUUUUGUACCUGUCUUCAGUAAUUAGGAUUUAAAAUUACCUCUCUCCCCGCUUCCCACCCCUUUCAAAGGAGGAAUUGUGUGGGACAACUUUAUGAGAUAAAUGAACCUAAGCCAUUAUUUUAGAUAUGUAGUUAUUGUUAUUGUAUAAACGUGAGACUUAUGGACAGAAAUAACAAACAUCCCAUGGAGUAUAAGAAAUAAUUCUCCCUCCCCCAACCCCCCCCAAAAGAAAUAAUACACUAAACCAACACAGAGCAAGUACAUGAAAGCUGCUUGGUAAGGUUUACCUACUGAUUUUGCCAUGCCUUAGGCAGGAUAUUUUAUUGUGUGACUAGUCAUGGUGACAUACACUAGCAGUCUUUGCUUGUGGGAAGUGGAGGCAGGAGGGUCACAAGUCUCAGGCCAACUACAUAGUGAGAUCCUGCCCCCCCAAAAAAAGAUCCACCAACCUCCAAAUGUUAAAAGAAUUAUUAACUCGAAGUAAGUGUACAGCCGAAGUCCAGUAAUGAAAACGUGCUGCCUGUAGAUGAACCAAACCCCCCUUCCCCCGCAUCUGAAUAAUGGGACUGCACAUGUUCUUCACACAUCAGAUCUGCAGUCAUUGCAAAACUAGACUUCUUGGUCCUUGUACAUACUGGCAGUGCUGCUUUUCCUCAGUACCGUGUUAGCUGGAACACAUUUGUGUCAGAAUGGUACCCUUGGGUUAGUGGCCUUGGAUCACCUGUAACUCGGCCCUUGAGCUUGGGAGCCCCAUUCCUUAGCAUUCUGAGUAGCUAGCUGGGAUCUCAAGAAUGAGCCAUGGCCUGGCCUCAUUGCUUUCUCAAUCAGAUCAUAUACUUUUGUUGUUUACCAGAAAUUGUCUAGUUUCCACUUUUCACAGGCACCUUGUUUCCAGCCUUCUCUUACACUUGGGAGGUGUCACACAUCCAGUCCUUUUUCUAUGUUCUUCCUCAGGGUCACAAUCAUAGGCACACGAAAACAAACAGCACAAGAUACUUUGUUCCUUCAGUGGCUACUGACUUAGUGUGUGGGGCUCUUACUAACUAUGGGGACAUCACAUGAUAGGACUUGCUGUUUCUGUGUCCUCAGUACCUAGCAGAGUACCCAACUGCCUACUAGCUGUGGAGUAAAUAAUUCAGAAAUAAGUUUUAUCUCAACUUUCUAAGCCUGCUCUCCUCAAUGAAGUGAAGGGUGUGUGUCUUUAUCUUAGGAACAGUUGAGGUGGAGUGUGAAACAGUAUUGCCGUUCAUGUCCAUGCUAAUCUUGAUCUUAAUCUCCCUCUUAUCCUUUUCCUUUUCCCUAAAUAAUUACUUCUGCUAAGUUCUAUUUUUAAAAUAUGCACAGGAAAUAUUGGUAAGCCAAAUUUAAUACAAAGUUUAACUUUUACAAAAGCCUCUCAUAACUUAUAAAUUAAAUGUUUGACUAUUUAUAGUUCCAUAAUGUUACUGAAGAUACUUAAAAUCUAUACUAGAAAGAGCAGACAGAAGUUUCAGAAUAUAGAGUAUUGCUUUAAAUCUGAUUCUUGUCUGAUAGUUAUAUUUUAACGAAAGCACUGGGAGGGGGGAAUCUUUGGAACCAACUUAUGAAGGAAGUACCUAUUAAGAUUUAGAUUAAAUCCAGCUUUUGGGAGAUGGAGGAAGGAGAAUCAGAAGUUCAGGUUAUUCUAGGCUGUAUACUGAGAUACCAGCCUGAAUGGGCUACAGGAGACCCUGUCUCAAAUUAACAAGAGUUUAGAUAAAGGGGGUAAGGAGACAUGCUUCAUGUCUUCUUUGCAGUGACUGACACAUCACAGAACAUGCCUUCAGUAUGUGUCUUUGCUCAUGUGUUAGUGAAAUGUUAAUACUGCUUUGAACACUAGGAUUGUACAUGUUGAGCAAGAAAUACUGUAAAAACUUGUAUACUUUUACCCAAUCUUGAAAUGCCAAGCUUAUUAAAAAGAAAAUAAAUAAAAAGAAAAAGUGGAUUACUGUAUUUUCAAAAUUUAAGAGAAAAAUUGUAAAUGAAUGGAAUAUUUUGAAGUUUGAAUCAGGUGUUAAUGCAUCAAGGACACCUCACUUUCCAAGUGCACUUCUGAAGUAUGACUACAGUUCUCUAGACCUUGUCAGAGUUCAGUAUCCGGUAGUGUCGUCAGCCGUCUGUCAGUGCCGCUUCUCCCGUCGGUACCGUUUCCACAUUGCAGCUUUAGAGUGGAGACAGUGAGCUCAUGUUGUCUUAGCUAGGGUUUCUAUUGCUAUGAUAAAACACCAUGAGCAAAGAGAGCUUGGGUGCUGUCUUAGUUACUGUUUCAUCGCUGUGAAGAGACACUAUGACCACGGCAAUUUUUAGAAAAGAAAGCAUUUAACUGAGGACUUGCUUACAGUUUCAGAGGAUUAGACCAUGAUCAUCAUGGUGGGUAAAUGGACAAGCAUGGUGCUAGAGCGACAGCUAAGAACUUUACAUGCUGACUCAAGCAGCAGGCAGAGAGGAUGAGAAGCUGGGCCUGCCUAGUGACACCUCCUCCAACAAGGCAAUACCUCCUAACCCUUAAGUAGUUCCACUCCCUGGUGAGUAAACACCAAGUAUGGAUUCAGACCACCACAGGGGAGGAGAGGGUUUCUUCAAGCUUGCAGCUCUCAGAUCACACUCUGCUGAAGGAAACCAGGGCAGGGACCUGGAGGUAAGAACUGUUACAGAGGCCAUGGAGGGUGAUGCUUACUGGCUUGCUGUCAUGGCUUGCUUAGCCUUCUUUCUUACAGCGUCCCGGACCACCAUCACAGGGGUGACACUGCCCUCAGUGGGCUGGGCCCUCUCACAUCAGUCAAAUCAAGCCAUUCUUGUGGGGGACGUUUUCUCAGUUGAGCUUCCCUUUUCUCAAAUACUUCUAGCUUGUGUCAAGUUGAAAAAAUAAUAAAGCUGACCACGACAUCUGUAAAGGAUGCAGGGACCCAGCUGCUUCUCCAUAAUGGCUCAGCUGAGACUGGAUUUGCUGUUGACAAUGGGUAAAAGGAAGCUGGUGGUCACCUCACUGGUGCAGUGCAACCAGACCCCAGGGCAAUGCUUAGCCAGCCCUCCUCAGGACCCAUGCCAGCUUUUCUAAUUAAACUUCCUUGGAGGUGAGGAAAGGACACAUGUUUUUCUCAUGCCUCCAAAUAAUUUUUAUUAUGUACUGCACCCACAAAAUUUCUCUGAUGAGGCUCCCACUUUUAACAGGACUGUCAACAUAAGUGACAUUUUUCAAAACAUCAGAUAUAAAAGCAUAAAUUUAUCUGAGGGAGAUAUUUGCAGAAUAUCAGUGAUCAUCUCCAAAAGCUAAUACAAUAGUAGCUUCUAUAGAAGAUAUCCUUUAUUGAUACCAAAUGUGAACCUAUGCUCAGGUGAUUAACACCAGAGAGCCCAGUUUGAACAAAUGGUUUUGAGUGGACUGUUGCUAGCACGGUAUCAAGGGUCUGGCAUUGAGUUUGCAUUGCAGUCUUUGCCCCUUUGUUUCUGUCUAUUUCUUUGUUUGGCAUCUUGACUUCUCUGAGCAGCUGACUGAUUUUGUUACAGAGUGCAUCUGUUGUUUGGCUUACACUCCUGGCUUUCUGUAACCCAUAGUCUCAGUUACAGGCACUGCCAGAAUUUACCCCUUGGAGCAUAUGUAGUUAAAAGUUUAAAAAAAUAGUAGCCUGUUUUAAAUCUUUGAGCACUGUGUUCAGGUCACAUGAAAAAGUUUGUGAUAGAAAAACCCCAUGUUGAGUGACUUCCACAACGCACAGCCUUGGUCUGGCCUUGUUCAUCGUCUCACCUCCUUGCUCCUUUUUUUUAUCUUAGAUAACUGGGCCGCACACUGCCCCACCUUACUGUUUCACUUUUUAAUCAUUCUCUUCCCUGUCUUUCUUUGUCCCAGGUCUGACAUGGUUCUGUUUGGAUCCUUUCCCUUUAUCUUUUAGGUCAAGGAUUUUAAAAUUGUUCCAACUCUAAGACAUCCUGCUUGUUUGCGUGAUGAGUACUUUUUCCAGCUGGUUAAACCCAGUCUCUGCUUGACCCUGCUCUGAGAAACUGGCUUCUGUGGAUAGCAUCACUCGGGCUCCUUCGCCCUCCAAGUCUGUUUGGUUUCAGCCAGUUUGGGAAGCACUGGCAAAAGAUCAAAGGAAGGAGAGAGUCCAGAAUAUUUACUCCCUCCCUGUGACUGCAGCUUCAUCUUCCACUAGGGCCCAGGGCUCCUGCCAGAUACCUGUGUCUUGUAGCCAAGUUCUAGAAACUGCUUCUCUCCCUUGAACCUUCUGGCCUGGAGAUAUAAUGAUUAGAUUCUCGAUCAUUCCUUGCCUUAAAAGCUGUCUCCACCUCUGUGAGAACUCUCCUCGUUAAACUCUGUCUACUUCCUGCCAGGACCCUAGGAAGAGGUGAGCUGGAAUGAGAAAGUGUGUCCAACCUUGUCAGCCAAGAGUCCCAGUCCCAUCGAUUCCAAAUUAAAAUUUGAAUGUAGGAUAAGUGUGUUAUCCUAGCAUAUGUUUUUAUGCAAAAUCUGGCAAACACUAAUUACUCCAUAACUGUAGAAUGAAGGCUCUCUCCUUAUCUGAAAUCUAUGUGAGACAACUUCAAAAUAGUAAUUUAAAUUAGAGUUUGUGUGUACUUAAGACAAAGUUCUCAGGGUGUUUAGUAAUGACAGAAGGUCUGUUUAGUCUUUACUAAAUACUACAUGGCCAUUUACAGUAAUGGCUCUACUUCUCCCCUCCUUGCAAGGGGGCCUAAGUGCCACCAAAAGUGCUACCACUUUUGACUGUGUGAUAGAAACUGAAGUGGCGUGUGCAGCGCUGAGAACAGUCUUCCAAGGCUCGUCAUUUUUGCACUUCUCCCUGUUGGUUGAAAUCAGACCUGCUAUGCCAAGUUCCAAAAAGAAGUCAGAACAGAGCUGAAGGAGCAGGAGCCUUGACACUGAAAUAAUUAGUCCCAGAUUUCCUUUAUAGAGAGAGGAACAGCGUGGAUAAGCCACCAUUAUCAGGUGUGUUGACUCUCAGCCAGCAUCACUCCUGUUCAGAAUGGGUGUGUUUGCAUUCUCUUGGCUGCUGUGACAACCUGGACCACCAGUGAAUUAAAACCACGUUCAGUAGCUUAUCAUCCUGGAAGACAGAAGUCCAAAAUGGGUGUCACGCGGCUAAAUGAUUCUUUCUCGAGGUUUUGGCAGGAUUGGGGGUGUCAGAGGCUUUAGGGAAGAACAUUUCUUUGCCUUGUCCAGCUUUGAAGGCCACUUAUACUGCUCAGCUGGCGGACCUCCUUCUCCCUUUCAGACUCAGCACCAGCGUCCACAGUCUUUCUCCAGUGGCCUGCUCACUGGUCCUCUGUUCUGUUCAUCACCCUACAGCAUAGAUGCUUUCGCGAUGCACUUAGUCCUGCCUAAAUCAUUCCAUCUGCCUCCACACUUUAAGGUCAGCUGAUAAUCACAUUCAGUGCCACCUGUAACCUUAUGCCCCCUUUGUCACAUAACUAAUAUAGUCACAGGGUAACUUUGGGAGGUCUUGUAAUAUAUGUUUAAAGUUUUAUUAGUGAGAAACAAGUUUUUAUUAACUUGUUCAUCUUUAAUUUCUAUGCAGCUUCCAGUAUUAUGCUAAUUAGUCAUUACUCUUCAUGCCACAUAGAAAUCUUUAAUAAUUAAGUAUUAAUUACUUUUUUCAACUUCUGUUCCUGAGAGCAUUUUAUGUGAUAGACACAGCAUGGAUCUAUAAAUAUCUAGCACAGUCCCUGACUUCAAGCAACUUACAGAUUGUGAGAGAAGCAGAUUUGUCAAAAGUGUUCACACAAAAAUGUCAGGAAGGCGUGGUUAUACACAGAAGAUGGUGACUAAGGGCGAGAUUGUCUGCACUGGACAUAAUGGACUCUGUCAGACGUCAAGUGCAGCAGAGAGAAUUCAAGGUGAAGAAUCACAAGAUCCAAGUGUAGGGAUGGAGCUAGAGGAACCUCUCCAGGUGUACUGGCUCUGCCUCUGCAUCUCUGUGCCUGUUUCAGGUUUCCUGACUGUGCCUGGAGGUGGACGUCCUGAAAAGAGGUCCGGAGAAAUGCACGUCCACAGCAUCACUCUACAGCGCUUAGAGGAGAAACAAGCUUCCUUAGCCCGGAUUUUGUGAUUAAAGAUUGUGUUAAAUCUUUUCUACAUGAAUCGUUUACAUAAGUAUAAUAAUAUUAACUUGGGAAUAUCCAUAAAUGUCACCACAGCAUCAGUACUACACUGCUUUACUUGCCGUCAGAUUUCCCUUUUGUCUUCACGACCUUUGUGUGCUUUUUCACGUUCCACAAUUGAUAGACGGACUGCAGUAUACUGAGCCAGUCACAUGCUUUGAAAGUUUAAAUUGCUUGUAAUGUUUUGUUUUAUAAAGAAUAAAAAUUGUUACCAUA